AUAGGGGUGCAUAGAGUUUUCCAGGGAUUGAUUUGUGACAUCUCAAGGCCACCGUAUAAACCCAUUUUAGUUCAUUUUUGCAACAAAAUGAAAGAAGCAGCAAAUUGAAGAGAGACUUGAGAGAAUGCCGAGAAGGAGAAAUAAGAGAAAGAGUGGAAGUUUAGUGAAUUUUUUGGCGAUUUCGGUGGGAUAAAGGAAACAUUAGGUGAAGGAGGGAAGGAACCGGAGCCUUAAUUUGAUCAAGGAAAGGAGAAGGUUUUGUGGGACGAGCACCUGACGAGCUCCAGGCGGGAUUACACCAGGCGAGUAUUGGUCGCUGUGGUAUUUUAGAUGCCCCAAGGGUGGACCAUGGACAGGAUUUGUUUGAUACUAUAUCAUGACACCCCGAUGGUAGACAGUGGGUCGAGUAUGAUUAUCCAAUGGUGAUUAUACCAUCCCGAGGUAGAUUGUGGUUGAUACCAUCUUGAGGGUAGACUAUGGGUGGUGUAGCUUGUUGUUUGUAUUUGGGACUGAAACGUGAGAGAUAUGACUUAGGUCCCCGCGUAUCGGUAGUGAUUGUCUUUGGUUUAUACGAUCUUGGUACCUGCUGAGAAAAAUCACAUUAAUUCAGCAAGGCUGAAGAAUUCAAUGCAAGAAUUGGGGAGAGUCUGGAAAAGAAGGUGCCUGUUAUAUGGUCCACCGGGGAUUGGCCAAAGGAGGAAGAAAAAGGAGAAAGGAGGAGGAAAUAAUAACGAGAAGGAUCCGAGACAGAAACUUGGAAAAGAAGAAAGAGAGACAAGAAGCAGCCAAUUUGUGAAUUGUUGCAAUAAACAAAAAUGACCCCAGCGGAUGUUGCAGAGCAUUUGAUGCCAAAAACAGUUCCACCUGAUGUGGAGUUUAGCCUGAGAAGCUUAAUCCAGGCCCUGGAAGAGACAAAAGAAGAAGCAAAGUUGAAAGCUGAGAAAGAAGCAAAAGAAAAAGAGAAAGAGCUAACAGGUGAACCAGGUUUUGUCACUCUAGAGUGAUAAUAUAUAGUGUGCAAUCUCCACUGAUUUUGAUUGAACAAUUUAAUUAUUGAUUAGAUUGUGUACAUGAAUGCUGACUUAAUGUGAUUUUUCUUAGCAGGCUAGUUGCCAUUAGGAUAACGGAUUAGUUUGGAAAAUAGAUGAAAACUUAGAUUGGAUCUCUUAAUAGUAGUUCAAUAAAUUAGAUAUUGUUCGUUUUGGCCUUA